GGUGACCUUCUGGAAACUCCUUGUGUUGCAACUCUU
rnacentral:rRNA from 1 species